rnacentral:lncRNA from 1 species
GGACUUGAACAAUCUUCUACAAAAAUCUCAUAAAAACGGCUAAAGGAAAAAAGUUUCUGUAAAGUAUGAAAAUCUCUCCCUAAAAACGACCUAAAUGACAUGUAUUUAUAGUCUCCAAUACUCCAUGGUCUCUAGGGUUCCAGAAUUAAGGCUGGGAAUGACUUUGGGCUUCAGAUAAGUGGGCUUUAAGUCGGAGCUUGAAUGUCGCGGUCGGGAGUGUUGUGACCGCGGCAAUUGGCUUGUUGGCCGCGGUCGGGAGGCUUCUGACCACGGCAAAUAGCUUGUUGGCCGCGGUCGCGUGAGUUGCUGGCCGACUCCACGUGGCUCCGGGGCUAAUGGAAUAUCUUGAGAUCCAACCGUUGGAAUGUCUCCAAACCAAGUGCAUUUGAAAGCUGGUUGAUUCUUCUAUAAGUUGUCUAAUUUUGAGGGUGAUCAAACGGUGAUAAGGUCUUCGUCUCUCCAUGAGAGUUCUGACGGUCUG